AAACCAAGUCUCUUGGCCACCGAGAGAGGCAUCAAGCUUACGGAUGCUCCCAUGCUUCACAGAAGGUUUCAGUAUUUUGCUGUGUGAAUCCUGAUAUCUCAUUCCGGAGUCU
rfam:Arabidopsis thaliana chromosome 5, complete sequence.